UACAGAGGGUGCGAGCGUUGCUCCGGAAUCACUGGGCGUAAAGGGCGCGUAGGCGGCUUGAUAAGCGUGCGGGUGAAAGCCCCGGGGCUCAACCCCCGGGUCGGCCGUGCGAACUGUCGAGCUGGAGCACUGUAGAGGCAGGUGGAAUUCCGGGUGUAGCGGUGGAAUGCGUAGAGAUCCGGAAGAACACCGGUGGCGAAGGCGGCCUGCUGGGCAGUGGCUGACGCUGAGGCGCGACAGCGUGGGGAGCAAACAGG
rnacentral:rRNA from 1 species